rnacentral:rRNA from 1 species
AUUGAACGCUGGCGGCAUGCCUUACACAUGCAAGUCGAACGGCAGCACGGGAGCAAUCCUGGUGGCGAGUGGCGAACGGGUGAGUAAUAUAUCGGAACGUGCCCAGUCGUGGGGAUAACGUAGCGAAAGCUACGCUAAUACCGCAUACGAUCUAUGGAUGAAAGCGGGGGAUCGCAAGACCUCGCGCGAUUGGAGCGGCCGAUAUCAGAUUAGGUAGUUGGUGAGGUAAAGGCUCACCAAGCCGACGAUCUGUAGCUGGUCUGAGAGGACGACCAGCCACACUGGGACUGAGACACGGCCCAGACUCCUACGGGAGGCAGCAGUGGGGAAUAUUGGACAAUGGGCGAAAGGCCUGAUCCAGCAAUGCCGCGUGAGUGAUGAA